AACAAGUACAAGUAGUUCCAUCUCCUCCUCCCACCAAAAUUUCCUUCUGCUGACGGUACGUAACUGUAACAAUGGAAGCAGAAGCCGAAAAUCAAAGACCUACAAGCAGAAAGCCAGAAGAUACUGCGUUCAAACAGCAAAGA
rnacentral:ribozyme from 1 species